rnacentral:lncRNA from 1 species
CGAUUUAACUUUCAGUACUAUUUUUGGCCAUAAGAAAAGGGGACACCACCUUUGUAGUGGUUAAUGUUAGAGAUAGCUAAUGACUACAAGCAUGAGGUGUUAAAUGUUACGUAUACAUGAAGUGGUUAUUAGUUAGUCGAAACUUAAGUCAAGAUUGAAAUUGAAUGUGGUCGAUUAUUUUGUUAGGACUUCAAUUGACCAAAUGAUUAAAUUAAGUUAUGAUCCACAAUUUUUGAAUUUGUAAGUUGGAAAUAAGUUAAGAUUUGGGAUACAUUUGCUAAUAAUGAAAGAUAGAGGGUUGGAUUAUAUUAAUUGGAAGAUUAGAGAUUUCCUUUGCAAAUAUAGGUUUUUAGGCUACUAAUUACCUAUAAUUAGCCCCACUUGUUAUCCAUCACCACCAUACAUUUGGAUCAUAGAUUAAACAAGUGUACAAGUAUAAAAAAUAAAAAAAAAUAAAAAAAAGAAGAGAGGGGGGUCAAAGUCGGCCAAACCAAGUAAUAAAAAAAUAAAAAAAUCAAGUUUUAUCCUUAUCUUUAUAUGAGUAUAAAUACAUCCAUAUCCAUUGCCAUAGAGAGAUCUCUUUCAUUUUACAAAACAUUUAUACACUUAAAAAGAGAGCAAAAAACCAAAAUCAAGAAAGGAAAGGAGAAGGAAGAAAGUUUAGCACUUUCAAUUCAUUUCAAUCGAAGAUCUUCAAGUUUUACGGUAAGAUACUUCCAUGCUUAAGAGUUAUGAUUUUCAUGGUAAUAUUUAUGCUUAAGUUGUGCAUGAAAAACCACAAUAUGAUUAUGGUGGACAAGUCCACAAAGUUAGAUAUCUAUUUAUGCCUUAGGACAAGUCCGAAGGGCACCGGCAUGUCGGAAUAUGGAAGUAUGGGUUUGAUUGCUUUCUUUGGUGUAGUAUUAUCAUGAUAAAUGUUCAAGCAUGGUAUCUUACUGAGUAUUUCCUUAUACUCAAAGUAUGUUAUGCUAAACUUUUCAGAUCCAUGAUCAUUUGAAUUGAUGGAAGUUAGUUGGCUUACGCGAUGAUGGAUUAAGGACAACGAAGUUUUGUACCGAAAGUUUUCUUUUGUGUGUUUUGUUCGAUGGCAGGUUUUACAUCUAUUUUUCUUAUGGUAUUAUGUAAAAAUAUGAACAUGGAAUGAUGUAUUAUGGUAUUAAUAGUAAAUUUUGUAAUUAUAUCUUUCAUGUUAUGUUAAGAGACGUUUUUAUAGUUUAUUUUCCUUGCAAGUGAUAAAAGGCAGAAACGGGACAGUUUCUGGAGUCAAUUUCAAAAUGAUGUUUCUAACUCUAUAAACGUCCAUUUGAAAUUCUAAAAAUAUUUCUGUUUUCCCCUUUGAGUUUUCUAAGUAUGGCCGCAAUAAAUACUCAAUUUGGAUAUCUGUGGCCUGAGUUAUUAAGGUUUUGACGUCCAAAGGUCAAUCUGGAUUCCCUGUGUAAUACUUCACUGUUUUCAGUAAAACGUCUAUAUCAUAUGAUCUUGGAAAACUUUCAUACUUUAACCUAGAAAACUAUCUGAAAUUAUCUUUCUAAUGCCACAAAUUUCAUAUGAAACGGAGUUGGGAUGAAUUUUAUAAAAUCUGCCGAAGGUUGCUGCCUCAACUAAACUUGACAGUGCCGAGGCCGUAUUUACAAUGUUUAAAUUUCAUGUUGGCAUGCACUUUUAUCGGCCAUAAAGUUUUAUAAAAAUAAGUUUUUAACAUGUAGUAUUCCUAUUUAAGAAUAUUUACAUGUACCAAAGGCAAAAGUUUUUAUGUAAAGUACGUGGCCCUCGAAGCUUAAGUUCGGGGCGUCACAGCUUGGAUUUUUAGUUUUCGAAAAAAUCGGCAUAACUUUCGCAUACGGUGUUUGUUUUGGGGCUGUAACCACAUUUCGAAAAGCUCGAGAUGAUUCGGAAUGAGUUUCUUGUGGAAGAAUAGGCAUUUGUGUACACGGAACAAUUGGAUUGUCAAUGUUUGAAAAACUUGGCAUAACUUUCACAUACGAUGUUCAUUUUUUCCCAUAACAACAAUUCGAAAAGCUUACGAUGAUUCGGAACAAGUUUCGCGUGGAAGAAUUGGCACUUGUAUACACGGAACGCUUGGAUUGUUAAUUUUUGAAAAAAUUGGUAUAACUUUCACAUACGGUGUCUGUUUUGGGCCCAUAACCACAUUUCGAAAAGCUCGCGAUGAUUCAGAACGAGGUUCACGUGGAAGAAUAAGCACUUGCAUACUCGAAACGAUUAAAGCGUCACUGUUCGAAAAAAUCGUCAUAACUUUCGUAUACGGUGUUUUUUUUCCCAUAACCACAUUUUGGAAUGUUUACGAUGAUUUGGAAUGAGGAUCGCGUGGAAGAAUCGACACUUGCAUUCAUGGAAUGCUUGGAUUGUUAGUUUUAAAAAAAAAUGGUAUAACUUUCGUAUACGGUGUCUGUUUUGGGCCCAUAACCACAUUUCGGAAAGCUCGUGAAGAUUCGGAAUGAGGUUCGCAUGGAAAAAUAGGCACUUGUGUACAUGGACUGCUUGGAUUGUCAGUUUUCAAAAAAUUGCAUAACUUUCGCAUACAGUGUACGUUUUAGGCUCAUAACCACAUUUCAGAAAGCUUGCGAUGAUUUGAAAUGAGGUUUGCCUAGAAGAAUCGGUACUUCCAUAUGCGGAAUGCUCAGGUUGUCAAUUUUUGAAAAAUUAGAAUAACUUUCGCAUACGGUGUCCAUUUUGGGCCCAUAUCAACAUUUCGGAAAGCUUGUGACGAUUUAGAAUGAGGUUCACAUGGAAGAACUGGUACUUACGUACACGGAAUGCUUGGAUUGUCAGUUUUCAAAAAAAUUGGCAUAACUUUUGCAUACGAUGUCCCUUUUUUUCCCAUAAUCAAAUUUCAGGAAGCUUACGACGAUUGGGCACAAGGUCCGCAUGGAAGAAUCGGCAAUUGCGUACAUGGAACGCUUGGAUUGUUAGUUUACAAAAAAAUUGGCAUAACAUUCGUAUAUAGUGUUCGUUUUUGGCCCAUAACUAGAUUUUGAAAAGCUCACGACGAUUCGGAACGAGGUUCGCUUGGAAGAAUAGGCACUUGAGUACACAGAAUGCUUAGAUUGUCAGUUUUAGAAAAAAUUGCCAUAACUUUCGCAUACGGUGUCCGUUUUAGGCCAAUAACCACAUUUCGAAAAGCUUGGGACGAUUCGAAAUGAGGGUUGUGAGGAAAACUCAGAACCUGUAUACCCAGAGUGCUUGGAUAGUCAGUUUUCAAAAAAAUUAGCAUAACUUUCGCAUACGGUGUCCAUUUUAGGCCCAUAACAACAUUUCGGAAAGCUCGUGACGAUUCGAAACGAGGUUCGCGUGGAAGAACCGGCAUUACAUACACAGAACGCUUGGAUUGUUAGUUUUCGAAAAUAUUGGUAUAACUUUCGCAUACGAUGUCCUUUUUUCCCAUAACCACAUUUCGGAAAGCUUAUGACGAUUCGGAACGAUGUUCAUGUGGAAGAACGGGCACUUAAACGGAACACUUGAAUUGUCAAUUUUUGAAAAAAUUGGCAUAACUUUGGCAUACGGUGUUUGUUUUGGGCCCAUAACUAAAUUUUGAAAUGCUUGCGACGAUUCAAAUUGAAGUUUGCAUGAAAUAACAGGCACUCAAUUAAACGGAAUGCUUGGAUUGUCUAUUUUUGAAAAAACUGGCAUAACUUUUGCAUACGGUGUUCAUUUUGGGCCCAUAACAACAUUUCAAAAAGCUUGUGAAGAUUCGGAACGAGAUUCGUGUGGAAGAAUAGGCACUUGCGCACAUGGAACGCUUAGAUUGUCAAUUUUCAAAAAAAAUUGGUGUAACUUUCACAUACGGUGUCCGUUUUGGGCCCAUAACCACAUUUCGAAUAGCUCUUGACAAUUCGGAAUCGGCACUUGAAAACACAGAAUGCUUGGAUUGUCAGUUUUUGAAAAAAAUUGCAUAACUUUCGCAUACGGUGUUCGUUUUGGGCCCAUAACGUGACUUCAGAAAGCUCGUGAUGAUACCGAAUCUGGUUCGCAUGGAAGAACCAGUACUUGAGUACAUAGAAUGCUUGGAUUGUCAAUUUUCAAAAAAAUUGGCAUAACUUUUGCAUACAGUGUCCAUUUUGGGCCCAUAACCACAUUUUGGAAAGCUCGAGAUGAUUUGGAAUGAGGUUUGCAUGGAAGUAUAGGCAGUUGUGUACACGAAACAAUUGGAUUGUCAGCAUUCAAAAAAAUUGGUAUAACUUUUGCGUACGGUGUUCAUUUUUUUCCAUAGCCACAUUUCGAAAAGCUUGAGAUGAUUCAGAAUGAGGGUCGCGUGGAAGAAUCGACACUUGCGUACACGGAACGCUUGGACUGUUAGUUUUCGAAAAAAUUGGCAUAACUUUCGCUUCCGGUGUCUGUUUUGGGCCCAUAACCACAUUUCGGAAAGUUCACGAAGAUUCGGAACGAGGUUUGCAUGGAAAAAUAGGCACUUGUGUACACGAAAUGCUUUGAUUACAGGUUUUGGUGUCCGUAUUAGGCCCAUAACCACAUUUCUGAAAGCUUGCGACAAUUCUGAAAGAGGUUUACGUGGAAGAACCGGUACUUCCAUACACGAAAAGUCUGGAUUGUUAGUUUUUGAAAAAAUUGGCAUAACUUUCACUUAUGGUGUACGUUUUGGGCCGAUAUCAACAUUUCGGAAAGCUUGCGACAAUUCUGAACGAGGUUUGCGUGGAAGAACUGGUACUUACAUACAUGGAACGCUUGGAUUGUCAGUUUUCGAAAAAAUUGGCAUAACUUUUGCAUACGGUGUCUGUUUUGGGCCUAUAACCAUAUUUCAAAAAGCUCGCGACGAUUCUAAAUGAGUUUUACGUGGAAGAAUUGUCACUUAAACAAAAUGCUUGGAUUAUUAGUUUUAAAAAAAAUUGGCAUAACUUUCGCAUACGGUGUCCAUUUUUGGCCCAUAGCCAUAUUUUGAAAAGCUCAAGAUGAUUCGAAACGAGGUUCGCAUGGAAGAACUGCCACUUGUGUACACAGAACGCUUCGAUGGUAAUUGUUUGAAAAAAUUAGCAUAACUUUCAUAUACAGUGUCUAUUUUGGGCACAUAACCACAUUUGGAAAAGCUCGCGACGAUUCAGAAUGGGGUUCGCGUGGAAGAAUCGGCAUUGGCAAACAUGGAACACUUGGAUUGUCAGUUAUUGGAAAAUUUGGCAUAACUUUCGGAUACAGGGUCCAUUUUGGGCCCGUAACCACACUUCGAAAAGCUCGCGAUGAUACGGAAUGAGGUUCGCGUGGAAAAAUCGGCACUUGCAUACAAGGAAUGCUCGGAUUGUCAGUUUUCGAAAAAAUCAGAACUUUCGUAUACGGUGUCCGUUUUGGGCCCAUAACCACAUUUCAGAAAGUUCGCGAUGAUUCGAAACAAGGUUUACAUGAAAGAAUAGGCACUUCUAUACACAGAACGAUUGAAUUGUCAUUGUUCAAAAAAAUUUGCAUAAUUUCACAUGCGAUGUACGUUUUCGAAAAGCUUGCGCCAAUUCGGAACGAGGUUCACAAGGAAGAAUCGGCACUUAAACGUAAUGCUUGGAUUGUCAAUUUUCAAAAAAAUUGGCAUAACUUUCGCAUACAGUGUCCGUUUUGGGCCCAUAACCACAUUUUGGAUAGCUCACUACGAUUCAGAUCGAAGUUCACAUGGAAGAACCGACACUUACUUAAACAGAACACUUAGACUGUUAAUUUUCGAAAAAAUUGGUAUAACUUUCGUAUACGGUGUCCGCUUGUGGCCCAUAACCACAUUUCAGAAAGCUUGUGAAGAUUCUGAAUGAGGUUCGCAUGGAAAAAAAGGCACUUGCGUACAAGGAAUGCUUGGAUUAUCAGUUUUCGAGAAAAUUGAAUAACUUUCGCAUACGGUGUCCGUUUUAGGUCCAUAACCACAUUUUGAAAAGCUUGCGAUGAUUCGGAAUGAGGUUUGCCUAGAAGAAUCGGUACUUGCAUACGCAAAAUGCUUGGAUUUUCAAUUUUUUUAAAAAUUGGCAUAACUUUCGCAUACGGUGUCCGUUUUGGGCCCAUAUCAACAUUUCAAAAAGCUUACAAUGAUUCGGAACGAGGUUCAAGUGGAAGAAUCGGCAUUUAUAUACACAGAACGCUUAGAUUGUCGAUUUUCUAAAAAAUUGGCAUAACUUUCGCAUACAGUGUCCUUUUUGAGCCCAUAACCACAUUUCAAAAAGCUCGCGACGAUUCGGAGCGAGACUUAUGUGGAAGAGCCAUCACUUACUUAAACAGAAACCUUGGAUUAUCAGUUUUCAAAAAAAUUGGCAUAAUUUUUGCAUACGGUGUCCAUUUUGGGCCCAUAACCACAUUUCAAAAAGCUCACGACGAUUCAAAAUGAGGUUAGCAUGGAAGAACCGGCACUUGCGUACACAAAACGCUUGGAAUGUAAGUGUUUGAAAAAAUUGGCAUAACUUUCGCAUACAGCGUCUGUUUUAGGCCCAUAACCACAUUUCAAAAAGUUCGCGAUGAUUUAGAAUGGGGUUUGCAUGGAAGAAUCGGCCCUUGCAAACACAGAACGCUUGAAUUGUCAGUUUUCAAAAAAUUGGCAUAACUUUUGGAUACAGUGUCCAUUUUGGGCCCGUAACCACACUUCGAAAAUCUCGCGAUGAUACGAAAUGUGGUUUUCGUGGAAGAAUCAGCAAUUGCGUACAUGGAAUGCUUAGAUUGUCAGUUUUCGAAAAAAAUAGCAUAACUUUCGCAUACGACGUCCGUUUUGGGCCCAUAACCACAUUCUAGAAAGCUUGCGAUGAUUCGGAACGAGGUUCGCUUGGAAAAAUAGGUACUUGUCUACACAAAACAAUUAGAUUGUCAAUGUUCGCAAGAAUUGGCAUAACUUUUGCAUACAGUGUUCAUUUUUCCCAUAACCACGUUUCAGAAAGCUUGCGACGAUUCGAAACGUGGUCACGUGGAAGAAUCGACAAUUGUGUUCACGGAAUGCUUGGACUGUUAGUUUUCGAAAAAAUAUGUGUAACUUUUGUAUACGGUGUCUAUUUUGGGCCCAUAACCAGAUUUGGGAAAGCUCACGAAGAUUCAGAAUGAGGUUCACGUUGAAGAAAGGCACUUACGUACACGAAAUGCUUGGAUUUUCAGAUUUCGAAAAAAUUGGUCUAGCUUUUGCAAACAGUGUCCGUUUUGUACCCAUAACUACAUUUCGAAAAGCUCGCGAUGAUUCGGAGCGAGGUUCUCAUGGAAGAAUCGGCACUUGCGGUCACGGAAUGCUUGGAUUGUCAGUUUUCGAAAAAAUUGGCAUAACUUUUGCAUAGGUGUUCAUUUUGGACCCAUACCAAAUUUCAAAAAGCUCGCUAAGAUUCAGAACGAGGUUCACGUGGAAGAACAGGCACUUGUGUACACGAAACAAUUGGAUUGUCAGUGUUCAAAAAAAUUGGAAUAACUUUCUCAUACAGUGUUCAUUUUUUCCCAUAACCACAUUUCAGAAAGCUUGCGAUGAUUCAGAACGAGGUUCGCCUGGAAGAAUCGACACUUGCAUACACGGAAUGCUUGGAUUGUUAGUUUUUGAAAAAAUUGGCGUAACUUUCCCAUACAAAGUCCGUUUUGGGCCCAUAACCACAUUUCGAAAAGCUCGAGAAGAUUCGGAGCGAAGUUCGCAUGCAAAAAUAGGCACUUGCGUGCACGAAAUGCUUGGAUUGUUAGUUUUUGAAAAAAUUACAUAACUUUCGUAUACGGUGUUUGUUUUAGGCUCGUAACCACAUUUUCGAAAGCUUGCAAAGAUUCAGAAUGAGGUUUGCUGAGAAGAAUCGGUACUUGUAUACACGGAAUGCUUGGAUUUUCAAUUUUUAAAAAAAAUUGGCAUAACUUUCACAUACAGUGUUCGUUUUGGGCCCAUAUCAACAUUUCGGAAAGCUUGCGAUGACUCAAAAUGAGGAUAACAUGGAAGAACCGGCACUUUCAUACACGGAAUGCUUGGAUUGUUAGUUUUCAAAAAAAUUGGCGUAACUUUCGCAUACGGUGUUCAUUUUUUUUCCAAUAACACAUUUCAGAAAGCUUGCGACGAUUUGGAAAGAGGUUUACAUGGGAGAACCGGCACUUGCAUACACGAAAUGCUUGGAUUGUCAAUUUUCGAAAAUAUUGGCAUAACUUUCACAUAGUGUCCGUUUUGGGCUCAUAACCACAUUUCGAAAAGCUUGCGACGAUUCGAAAUGAAGUUUAUGUGAAAGAACCGUCACUUACUUAAACAGAAUGCUUGGAUUAUCAGUUUUCAAAAAAAAUGGCAUAACUUUCGCAAACGGUGUCCAUUUUGGGCCCAUAAUCACAUUUCAAAAAGCUCACGAUGAUUCAAAACUUGGUUUGCAUGGAAGAAUCGGCACUUGCAUACACGGAAUGCUUGGAUUGUAAGUGUUUGAAAAAACUUGGCACAACUUUCGCAUACAGUGUUGGUUUUGGGCAUGUAACCACAUUUUGAAAAGCUCACGAUGAUUUGGAACGGGGUUCACGUGGAAGAAUCGGCACUUGUAAACACAUAAUGCUUAUAUUGUCAGUUUUUGAAAAAAUUGGCAUAAUUUUCGCAUACGGUGUCCGUUUUGGGCCCAUAACCACACUUUGGAAAGUUCACGAUGAUACGAAAUGAGAUUCACGUGGAAGAAUAGGCAUUGUGUACAAGAAACGAUUGGAUUGUCAGUGUUUGAAACAAUUGGCAUAACUUUCGCAUACGGUGUUCGUUUUUUCCCAUUACCAUAUUUUGGAAAGAUUGCGACGAUUCGAAAUGAGGUUCGAGUGGAAGAAUCAGCACUUGCAUGCAUAGAAUGCUUGGAUUGUUAGUUUUUAAAAAAAUUGGCAUAACUUUUGCAUACGGUGUCCGUUUUGGGCCCAUAACCAGAUUUCUAAAAGUCCACAAUAAUUCGGAACGAGGUCCGGGUUGAAGAAUAGGCACAUGCGUACACGGAAUGCUUGGAUUGUCAGCUUUCAAAAAAAUUUGUCUAGCUUUCACAACCGGUGUCCGUUUCGUGCCCACAACCACAUUUCGAAAAGCUCAUGACGAUUCAAAAUGAGGUUCGUGUAGAAGAAUCGGCACUUAUGUUCACGGAAUGUUUAGAUUGUUUUUUUCGAUAAAAUUGGCAUAACUUUUGCAUACGGUGUCCGUCUUGGGCCCAUAACCACAUUUCGAAAAGCUUGCGAAGAUUCGGAAGGAGGUUACGUGGAAGAAUAGGCCCUAGCGUACAUGGAAUGCUUAGAUUGUUAGUGUUUGAAAAAAUUGGCAUAACUUUCGCACACGGUGUCCAUUUUGGACCCAUAACCACAUUUCGGAAAGCUCGCGAUGAUUCGAAAUGAAGUUCAUGUGGAAGAAUCGGUGCUUAUAUACAGGGAAUGCUUGGAUUGUUAGUGUUUGAAAAAAUUGACAUAACUUUUGCAUACGGUGUCCGUUUUAGGCUAUAACCACAUUUUGGAAAGCUCAUGAUGAUUCGAAAUGGGUUUCGCGUAGAAGAACAGGCACUUGUGUACACUGAGCGAUUGAUCGUCAGUGUUUGAAAAAAUUGGCAUAACUUUCGCAUACGGUAUCCGUUUUGGUCCUAUAAGCACAUUUUGAAAAGCUCGUGACAUUUCGAAAUGAGAUUUUCAUGGAAGAAUAGGCACUUGUAAAUAAGGAAUGCUUGCAUUGUCAAUUUUCAUAAAAAUUGGCAUAACUUUCACAUAUGGUGUCCAUUUUGGGCCCAUAACCACAUUUCGGAAAGCUCGUGAGGAUUCAGAAUGAGGUUCGUGUGGAAGAAUUGGCACUUACAUACAAGAAACGAUUGGAUUCUCAAUGUUUGAAAAAAUUGGCAUUACUCUGGCAUACGGUGUUCGUUUUGGGCCCAUAACAACAUUUCGAAAAACUCACGACGAUUCGGAAGAAAUUCGCAAGGAAGAACAGGCACUUGCAUACACGAAACACUUGGGUUGUCAAUUUUCAAAAAAAUUGGUAUAGCAUUCGCAUACGAUGUCUGUUUUUGGCCCUUAACCAUAUUUCGGAAAGCUCGUGAUGAUUCAAAAAGAGGUUCGUGUGGUAGAAUAGGAACUUGCAUACACGGAAUGCUUGGAUUGUCAGUUUUCAAAAAAAUUGACAUAACUUUUGCAUACGUUGUUCGUUUUGGGCCCAUAAGAACAUUUCGAAAAGCUCAUGAUGAUUUGGAACGAGGUUUGCAUGGAAGAAUAGGCACUUACAUAUAAGGAACACUUGCAUUGUCAGUUUUCAUAAAAAUUGACAUAACUUUCACAUACGGUGUCCAUUUUGGGCGCAUAACCACAUUUCGGAAAAGCUUACGAGGAGUCGGUGGAAGAAUCGGUACUUGCGUACACGAAAUGAUUGGAUUGUCAAUGUUUGAAAAAAAUUGGCAUUACUUUGGUAUGCAGUGUCCAUUUUGGGCCGAUAACCACAUUUCGAAAAGCUCGCAAAGACUCGAAACGAAAUUUACGUGGAAAAAUAGGAAUUGCAUACAUGGAACACUUGGGAAAUUGGCAUAGCAUUCGCAAACGGUGUCCGUUUUGGACCUAUAACCAUAUUUUGGAAAGCUCGCGACUAUUCAAAAAGAGUUUCAUGUGUUAGAGUAGGCAUUUGUGUACACAGAACGCUUGAAUCGUCAGUUUUCAAAAAAAUUGGCAUAACUUUCACGUAUGGUGUCCAUUUUUAGCCCAUAACCACAUUUUAGAAAGUUUACGAUGAUUCGAAAUGAGGUUCAUAUAGAAGAAUUGAGAUUUCGUACAUGAAACGAUUGGAUUGUUAGUGUUUGAAAAAAUUGGCAAAACUUUCGCAUACGAUGUCCGUUUUGGGCCCAUAAGCACAUUUCAAAAAGCUCGCGAUUAUUCGGAACAAGGUUCGCAUGGAAGAACACGCACUUGCAUAUAAGGAAGGCUUACAUACGUUGUCCAUUUUGGGCCCAAAACCAUAUUUCGGAAAGCUCGCAACAAUUCAAAAUGAGGUAUAUGUGGAAGAACCGUCACUUACGUAAACGAAACACUAAGAUUGUCAGUUUUCAAAAAAAUUGGCAUAACUUUCGCAUACAUUGUCCCUUUUGGGCCCAUAACCACAUUUUGGAAAGCUCGUGACGGUUCGAAAUGAGGUCCAUGUGGAAGAACAAGCACUUGCGUACACAGAAUGUUUGAAUUGUGAGUUUUUUCGAAAAAAUUGGCAUAACUUUCACAUACGGUGUCCAUUUUGGGCCCUUUAACACAUUUCAAAAAGCUCACGAUGAUUUUAAAUGGGAGCGAUGUGGAAGAGCCGACACUUGCAUACACGGACCACUUGGAUUGUCAGUUUUUGAAAAAAUUGGCAUAACUUUCGCAUACGUUGUCCCUUUUGGGCCCAUAACCACAUUUCGGAAAGCUCGUGAUGGUUUGGAAUGAGGUCCAUGUGGAAGAACAAGCACUUGCGUACACAGAAUGUUUGAAUUGUCAGUUUUCGAAAAAAUUGGCAUAACUUUCACAUAUGGUGUCCAUUUUGGGCCCUUUAACAGAUUUCAAAAAGCUCACGAUGAUUUGAAAUGGGGUCGAUGUGGAAGAACCGACACUUGCAUACCCGGACCACUUGGAUUGUCAGUUUUUUUAAAAAUUGGAAUAACUUUCACGCACGGUGUCCGUUUUGGGCCCAUAAACACAUUUGGAAAAGAUCGCGACGAUUCGGAAUGAGGUUCGCUUGGAAGUAAAGGCAAUUAUGUAGAUGAAAUGAUUGGAUUGUCAAUGUUUGAAAAAUUUGGCAUAACUUUUACAUACGGUGUCUGAUUUGGGCCCAUAACCAAAUUUGGGAAAGCUCCCGACGAUUCAAAAAGAGGUUCGUGUGGAAGAAUAGGCACUUGCGUACAUGGAACGCUUGCAUUGUCAGUUUUCAAAAAAAUAUCCAUAACUUUUACGUACGUCCGUAUUGGGCUCAUAACCACAUUUCGAAAGCUGGCAACGAUUCGUAACGAGGUUUAUGUGGAAGAAUAGGCGCUUGCGUACAUGGAACGCUUGGAUUGUCAAUUAUCGAAAAAAUUGGCAUAACUUUUGCAUACGGUGUCCAUUUUGGGCCCAUGACCACAUUUCAGAAAGCUCGCGACGAUUCGAAACGAAGUUCGAAUGGAAGAACUAGAACUUCGUACACGAAACACUUAGAUUGUCAAUUUUCAAAAAAAUUGGCAUAACGUCCGUAUACUGUGUCCGUUUUGGGCCCACAGCCACGUUUCGAAAAGCUUGCAACGAUUAAGAAUGAGAUUCACGUGGAAGGAUAGGCAAUUACGUACACAAAAUGCAUGGAUUGUCCAUUUUCGAAAAAAUUGGCAUAACUUUUGCAUACGUUGUUCAUUUUGGGCCAAUAAUCACAUUUCGAAAAGUUCGCAAUGAUUCUGAACGAGGUUCGUGUGGAAGAAUCAACACUAGCAUACACAAAAUGCUUGGGUUGUUAGUUUUUAAAAAAAUUGGAAUAACUUUCGCAUACGGUGUUCAUUUUGGGCCCAUAACCACAUUUCAAAAAGUUCAUGAAUUAUCGGCAGUGCACAAUGUGUUCCAUUUAUUGAUGAUAAAGAAGUAUGUACAUGAUCAUAAUCAUGUAGUGAGUUAUCAAACAUUGGAGGUGCAAAAAGAUUUGUUGUACGAGGAACUACCGAUCAAGAUAUUGGAUCGAAAAGUGCAUAAACUAAGGAAUAAAGAGAUUCAGCUGGUUAAGAUGCAGUGGAAUCAUCACAGCGUAGAAGAAGCCACUUGGGAAAAAGAAGAAGAAGCCAAAGACAUGUAUCCAACACUAUUUGCCCAAUCAGAAGGUAAAUUUCGAGGAUGAAAUUUUAAUUAAGGUGUGGGGGAUGUAGAACCCCAAAUAAUUCUAGACACCUUAGUGACACUAAGACAUGAAUAUUGGAUGACUAAAGUAUGAUUCAGAUUUAUAGUCUCAUUUGAGACCCAUUUUCGAUAUAGGAAACAUUCGAUUUGGAAAAUAAUAUCUUAAUAAAAGUUGUAUCUCUUCGAGUUAGCUUUCCAACGCACUUUGAAUUACCUCAAUCGGAUAUUGGGAGAAGAAGUUAUGAUAGAAACAUUGAAGGCUGUGCAGUGUCAACCGGACUACAAUCGGUCGACCGAAACUGUCUGAAAUGAAAAUUCUCGUUUUUUCUCUAGAAUUUAAAUAUUUAUUUCAUCAAUUAUUUUCUCAAAGGGCCACCCACGUUUUUGGUAAUAAAAACUCCACUAAAUUGAAGCAUUUAACCUCAAACUGAAAUGGCACUCAUGUUUUCUCUCUUAAAUGAAAUUUGACCCUUCAUUUGCUUUAAGUUAUGGGAUAUUUACCUAUAAAUAGAGACCUCAUUUCACUCAUUUUUCUCACGCCAAAAGCAAGAGCUUUUACAUACUAAAGAAAGAGUUUCCAAGAGAGAAAAAGAGAGGGAGGAAAACUAUUUUUCCUAGAAGUUUAAGAAGUGUUUUCAAGCAUCAAUUCUCAACAGUUUUCAAACAUCCAAGGAGUGCAUUUCUUUCAACGUCCAAGUUUCAUCGAAGUUUUCAAUCCAAGUUUUCAAAGUUUCAAAAGCAUCAAUCAAGGAAAGUAGAGGUGCAAUGUGUUUAAUCGUGUUAAGUUAUAAGUUUUGAUUCAUGUUAAUGUUUGUAUGUCAAAUGGUACUCCGGUACGGCAUAUCCCUCUAUGUUAAUGGUUGUAUGUCAAAUGGUACUCCAGUACGGCAUACCCCUCUAUGUUGAAGAAAUGUUCGUAUGUCAAAUGGUGCCCUCAGGUACAGCAUACCCCUUCAUGUCAAAUGGUGCCUCCGGGUACGGCAUGUAUGAGAAGUUAUAAAGUUAAUGUUUUGAAAUGUAUAGCUUGAUCACGAAUGGACCUAUGACACCUAUUGAGUUUUUUCAACUCACGGGUUUAAUCCCAUCUCUACAAAUUGAAGGAAUUCUACCUCGGGCGUGGAUGGAGAGGAAGAUGGAGAGUGAUGCAAUGAGCCCAUGAAAAUCCGGUGAAUAAGUGAUUUGGAUUUAUUUUUAUGAAAUGUUUUCCAAUGUUAUUUCUUAAAAGUUUUGAAUAACGCAGAAUGCGAGAACAAGUUAUGUUUUCUUCAAAUAAAUUACAUUUUGUUGUUUUGAAAAAUGAUUCAGUGUUUUUGUUUAAAGUAUUUGAAGUAUUGUUAUUUAAAUUAUUAUCCGAAGAUGUAAGCUUUCGCUAAAACGUAUACACUUGUUACUAAACCACCGGUUAAGCUAAGUAAAGUAAGUAGCGUUCCGGUCCACUAGGGGUCGAGGCGUUACACGGAAUGCUUGGAUUGUCAGUUUUUAAAAAAAUGGCAUAGCUUUCGCAUAUGAUGUCUAUUUUGGGCCUACAACCUUAUUUCGAAAAGCUUGCGAUGAUUUGGAAAGAGUUUUCCAUGGAAGAACAAGCACUUGCAUACAAGGAACGCUUGGAUUGUCAGUUUUCGAAAAAAUUGGCAUAACUUCUGCAUACGGUGUCUAUUUUGGGCCCAUAACAACAUUUAGGAAAGCUUGCGACAAUUCGAAAUGAGAUUCACAUGGAAGAACAGGCACUAGCGUACACGGAAUGCUUGUAUUGUCAAUUUUCGAAAAAAUAGGCAUAACUUUCGCAAAUUUCAGAAAGCUCGCAACGAUUAAGAACAAGGUUUGGGUGAAAGAGCCGGUACUUGAGUACGGGGAAAGCUUGGAUUGUAAGUUUCUGAAAAAUUUCCAUAAUUGUUGCAUACGGUGUCCAUUUUGGGCUGAUAACUACAUUUAAGAAAGCUCAGAAGAUUCAAAACGAGAUUCGUGCGGAAGAAUCGACACUUGCGUACAUGGAAUGCUUGGAUUGUCAGUUUUCAAAAAAAUUGGCAUAACUUUCGCAUAUGGUGUCCAUUUUGGUCCCAUUACCACAUUUCAGAAAGCUCGCAAUGAUUUGGAACGAGGUUCGUGGGGAAGAACUGGAACUUGUGUAUACAGAAUGAUUGGAUUGUCGGUGUUUGAAAAAUUUGGCAUAACUUUCGCAUACGGUGUCCGUUUUGGGCCCAUAACCUCAUUUCGGAAAGUUCUCGAUGAUUAGGGAUGAGGUUUGCAUGGAAAAAUAAGCACUUGCAUACACGGAACAAUUGGAUUGUCGGUGUUUGAAAAAAUUAGCAUAACUUUCACAUACGGUGUCCGUCUUAGGCCCAUAACCACAUUUUGGAAAGCUCGCGAAGAUUCGGAAUGAGGUUCGUGUGGAAGAACAGGCACUUGUGUACACGAAUUGGUUGGAUUGUCAAUUUUUGAAAAAAUUGCUUUAACUUUCGCAUACGGUGUCUAUUUUGGGCCUAUAACCUCAUUUCAGAAAGCUCACGAUGAUUUGGAAUGAGGUUUGCGUGGAAGAACAUGCACUUGUGUACACAGAUUUAUUAGAUUGUCAGUGUUUGAAAAAAUUGGCAUAACUUUCGCAUACGGUGUUCGUUUUGUUCCCAUAACCACAUUUACAAAAGCUCGUGGCGAUUCGAAACGAGUUUAGCGUGGAAGAACAGGCACUUGCGUGCAUGGAACGACUGGAUUGUCAUUGUUGAAAAAAUUGGCAUAACUUCCACAUGCGCAUCCGUUUUGUGCCCAUAACCAUAUUUCGAAAGGUUUGCAAUUCAGAAUGAGGUUCUCUUCGAAGAACCGGCACGUGCGGACAUGGAACGAUUAAAUUGUCAGUUUUCGAAAAAAUUGGUAUAAGUUUUGCAUACGGUGUUCAUUUUGGUCCCAUAACCACAUUUCAGAAAGCUCACGACGAUUAAGAAUGGGGUUCGCAUGGAAGAACCUGUACUUGAGUAUGAGUACGUGGAACCCUUGAAUUGUCAGUUUUCAAAAAAUUGGCAUAACUUUCGCAUACGGUGUCUGUUUUGGUCCUAUAACCACAUUUUGGAAAGCUCGCAACGAUUCGAAAUGAGGUUUACAUGGAAAAACUAACAAUUGCAUACACGAACGCUUGGAUUGUUAGUGUUUGAAAAAAUUGGCAUAACUUUGGCAUACGGUGUCCGUUUUGGGCAUAUAACCACAUUUUGGAAAGCUCACGAUGAUUCGAAACGAGGAUCGCGUGGAAAAAUAGGGACUUGCAUUCACGGAAUGAUUAGAUUGCACGCAUUUGUGAAAAUUGACAUAACUUUCACAUACGGUGUCCAUUUUGGGCCCAUAACAACAUUUCGAAAAGCUCAUUACGAUUCGGAUCGUGGUUCGUGGGGAAGAACCAGCCCUUGCGUACACGAAUGCUUGGAUUAAAUGUUUUCGAAGGAAUUGGCAUAAAUUUCGCAUACGUUGUCCGUUUUGGGCCCAUAAGCACAUUUCAAAAUUCUCGUGACGAUUCUAAACGAUGUUCAUGUGGAAGAAUCAAUACGUGCAUACACAGAAUUGUUGGAUUGUCAAUUUUCAAAAAAAUUGGUAUAACUUUCACAUAUGUUGUCCAUUUUGGUCCCAUAACCACCUUUCGGAAAGUUCAUGACGAUUCAAAAUGAGGUUCAUGUGGAAGAAACGGCACUUGAGUACACAGAACGCUUGGAUUGUCAGUUUCCAAAAAAUUGGCAUAACUUUCACAUAUGGUGUCCAUUUUGGUCCUAUAACCACAUUUCAAAAAUCUCGUGAUGAUUCAAAACGAAGUUUGCGUGGAAGAACUGACAAUUGUGUACACGAAUGCUUGGAUUGUAAGUUUUCAAAAUAAUUGGCGUUACUUUCGCAUUUUUCUUUUUGGGCCCAUAACCACAUUUUAGAAAGCUCGCGACGAUUCGGAACGAGGUUCGCAUGGAAAAAAGCACUUGUGAACCUAGAGCGAUUGGAUUGUCAGUGUUUCAAAAAAUUGGCAUAACUUUCACAUAUGGUGUCCGUUUAGGUCCAAUAACCACAUUUUGAAUAGCUCGCGACUACACGGAACGAGGUUCACGUGGAAAAAUUGGCACUCGCAUACACGGAAUGCUUAAAUUAUCAGUUUUCGAAAAAAUUUGCAUAACUUUCGCAUAUGAUGUCCGUCUUGGUCCCAUAACCACAUUUCAAAGAUCUCACGACGAUUAAGAAUGAGGUUCGUGUGGAAGAACGUGCACUUGCAUACACGAAAUGCUUGGAUUGUCAAUUUUCGAAAAAAUUGGCGUAACUUUCGCAUAUGGUGUCCGUUUUGAGCCCAUAACCACAUUUUAGAAAGCUCACGAUGAUUCAGAAUGAGGUUUGCAAUGAAGAACAAGCACUUGCAUACAUUGAAUGAUUGGAUUGUCAGUGUUUGAUAAAAUUGGCAUAACUUUCGCAUACGAUGUCGAUUUUGGGCCCAUAACCACAUUUCGGAAAGCUCGCGAUGACUCGAAAUGAGGUUUGCAUGGAAGGACGGGCACUUGCAUAUAUGGAAUGCUUGGAUUGUCAAUUUUCAAAAAAAUUGGCAUAACUUUCACAUACGUUGUCCUUUUCUGGCCCACAACCACAUUUUGAAAAGCUCGCGACGAUUCGGAAUGAGGUUCUAGUGGACGAAUAGUCACUUGCGUACACGGAACGGUUGGAUUGUCAAUUUUCGAACAAAUUGGCAUAGCUUUCGUAUACGAUGACCGUAUUGGGGCCAUAACCAUAUUUCGGAGAGCUCGCGAUGAUUUGGAAUGAGGAUCCUGUGGAAGAACUAGCACUUGCGUGCAUGGAAUGCUUGGAUUGUUAGUUUUCGAAAAAUUUGGCAUAACUUUCGCAUACGAUGUUCGUUUUGGGCCCAUAAACACAUUUCAAAAAGGUCGUGACGCGUAAGAACGAGGUUCAUGUGGAAGAACCAGCACUUACAUACACAGAACUCUUGGUUUAAAAGUUUUUGAAAAAAUUACCGUAACUUUUGCAUACGUUGUCCAUUUUUGGCCCAAAACCACAUUUCGAAAAGAUUGUGGUGAUUCAGAACAAGGUUUGCAUGGCAGAACAAGCACUUGUGUACGUGAAAUGUUUGGAUUGUUAGUUUAGAAAAAAUUGGCCUAACUUUUGCAUACGGAAUCCAUUUUGGGCCCAUAACCACAUUUUGAAAAGCUUGCGAUGUAGAGGUUCGCGUAGAAGAAUAGACACUUGCAUACAUGAAAUGCUUGGAUUGUCAAUUUUUGAAAAAAUUGGCAUACGAUUCCAUACGGUGUUCAUUUUGGGCCCAUUACCAUAUUUUAGAUAGCUCUCGACGAUUCGAAACGAGGUUUGCGUGGAAAAACAUGCACAUCCGUACACGGAACUGGAUUGUUAGUGUUCGAAAAAUUGGCAUAACUUAUGCAUACAAAGUUCGUUUUGGGCCCAUAUCUACAUUUCGGAAAGCUCACGAUGAUUCGGAACGAGGUUCCCGUGGAAGAACAGGCACUUGCGUACACGGAACGAUUGGAUUGUCAGUGUUGAAAAAAUUGGCAUAACUAUCGUAUACGGUGUCCAUUUUGGGUACUUAACCACAUUUUGAAAAGCUCGUGAUGAUUCAAAAAGAGGAUCGUGUGGAGGAACAGGCACUUGCAUACAUGGAAUGAUUGGAUUGUUAGUGUUUGAGAAAAUUGGCAUAAUUUUCACAUACGGUGUCCGUUUUAGGCCCAUAACCACAUUUUAGAAAGCUCAGGAUGAUUCAGAACGAGAUUCGUGAGGAAGAACUAGCACUUACGUGCACGGAAUGCUUGGAUGAAAAUUUUUCGAAAAAAUUGGCCUAACUUUUGCAUACGAUGUCUAUAUUGGCCCCAUAACCACAUUUUGAAAAGCUCGCUACGAUUUGGAAUGAGGUUCAUGUGGAAGAAUAGUAACUUCCGCGCACGAAACUCUAGGAUUGUCAGUUUUUCAAAAAAUUGGAAUAGCUUUCGCAUACAGUGUCCGUUUUGGGCCCAUAACCAUAUUUCAGAAAGCUCAAAGAGGUUCUCAUGGAAGAACAGACACUUGCAUUCAAGGAACACUUGGAUUGUCUGUUUUAGAAAAAAUUGGCAUAACUUUCGCAUACGGUGUCCAUUUUGGGCCCAUAACCACAUUCGAGAAAGCUCGCGAUGAUCAGAAUGAGAUUCACGUGGAAGAACAAGCACUUGUGUACACAGAAUGCUUGGAUUGCUAGUUUUUUAAAACAUUGUUAUAGCAUUCGCAUACGGUGUCCUUUUUGGGUCCAUAACCAAAUUUCAGAAACCUCGCGAUGAUUGAAGGAGGCUCUCGUGGAAGAAUAGACACUUGCGUUCAAGGAACACUUGGAUUGUCAGUUUUCGAAAAAAUUAACAUAACAUUCACAUAUGGUGUCCGUUUUGUGCCCAUAACCACAUUUGGGAAAGCUCACGACGAUUCAGAAUGAGAUUCAUGUAGAAGAACUGGCACUUGCGUACAUGAAACACCUGGAUUGUCAGCUUUCAAAAAAAUUGGCAUAACUUUCAAAUACGUUGUCCGUUUUGGGCCCAUAACCACAUUUCAAAAAGCUGGCGACGAUUUGGAAGUGAUUCGUGUGGAAGAAUCGACACUAGUGCACACAGAACUCUUGGACUUUCAGUCAUCAAAAAAUUUGGCAUAACUUUCGUAUACGGUGUCUGUUUUGGUCCAAUAACCACAAUUUGGAAAGCUCGUGAUGAUUCGGAACGCGUUUCGCAUGGAAGAUCCGACACUUGCUUACAUGCAAUGCUUGGAUUGUCAGUUUUUGAAAAAAUUGGCGUAACUUUCGCAUACGGUGUCCGUGUUGGGCCCAUAACCACAUUUUGAAAAGGUUGUGAUGAUUCGAAAUGAAGUUCACGUAGAAGAAUUGGUACAUGCGUACACGGAAUGCUUGGAUUGUUAAUUUUUGAAAAAUUUGCAUAACUUUUGCAUACGGUGUCCAUUUUGGGCCUAUAACCAUAUUUUGGAAAGCUCGUGAUGAUUCAGAAUGAGGUUCGUGUGGAGGAAUAGGCAUUUGCAUACACGGAAUACUAGGAUUGUUAGUUUUCAAACAAAUUAGCGUAGCUUUCACAUACGGUGUCCGUUUUGGGGCAAUAACCACAUUUCGAAAAGCUUGCGAUGAUUCAGAACGAGUUUCGUGUGGAAGAAUCUGUACUUGUGUACACUGAUCACUUGGAUUGCUUGGUUUCAAAAAAAUUGGCAUUACUUUCGCAUACAGUGUCCAUUUUCAGACCACAACCACAUUUCGGAAAGCUCACGGUGAUGAAGAAAGAGGUUCGCGUGAAAGAACUGACACUGGCAUACAUGGAAUGCUUGGAUUGUCAUUUUUCAAAAAAAUUGGCAUAACUUUCUCAUACGGUGUUCGUUUUGGCCCACAACCACAUUUAGGAAAGCUCGCAAAGCUUCAGAACGAGAUUCGCGUGGAAGAACCGGUACUUGCAUACAUGGAAUGCUUGGAUUGUCAUUUUUUGAAAUAAUUUUCAUAACUUUCGUAUAUGUGUCCAUUUUGGGACCCCGACCACAUUUCAGAAAGCUCACAAUGAUUAAAACGAGGUUCGAGUGGAAGGACAUGCACUUACAUACACAGAAUACUUGGAUUGUCAAUUUUUGAAAAAAUUGGCAUAGCUUUCGCAUAUGUUGUCCAUUUUAGGCCCAUAACCACAUUUUGGAAAGAUCGUGGUGAUUCGGAACGAGGUUUACGUGGAAGAAUCGGCACUUGCAAACACGGAAUGCUUGGGUUGUCAGUUUUCAAAAAAAUUGGAAUAAUUUUCACAUACGGUGUCCGUUUUGGGCCCAUAACCUAUUUCGAAAAGAUCGCGACGAUUCAGAAUGAGGUUUGCAUGGAAGUACUAGCACUUGUGUACACGAAAAGAUUGGAUUGUCAGUGUUUGAAAAAAUUGGCUUAAAUUUUGCAUACGGAGUCUGUUUUAGGCCCAUAACCACAUUUUGGAAAGCUCGCGACGAUUCGAAACGAGAUUUGGAUGGAAGAAUAAGCACUUGCAUACACGGAAUGACUAGAUUGUCAGUGUUUGAAAAAAUUGGCAUAACUUUAGCAUACAUGUCUAUUUUGGCCCCAUAACCACAUUUCGAAAAGCUCACGGCGAUUCGGAAUGAGGUUCGCGCUGAAGAACAAGUACUUUACAUACACGGAACGACUGGAUUGUCAGUGUUGAAAAAAUUGGCAUAACUUUCGCAUGCGCUGUCCAUUUUGGGCCCAUAACCACAUUUUGAAAAGUUCGCGAUGAUUCAAAAUGAGGUUCACGUGGAAGAACAGGCACGUGCAUACAUAGAACGCAUGGAUUGUCAAUUUUCAAAAAUAUUGGCAUAACUUUCGUAUACGGUGUAGGUUUUGGCCCCACAACCACAUUUCGGAAAGCUCGCGAUGAUUAAGAAUGAGGUUCGCAUGGAGGAAUGAGUACUUGCAUACACGGGUACACGGGAUGCCUCGAUUGUCAGUGUUUGAAAAAAUUGGCAUAACUUUUGCAUACGGAGUCUGUUUUGGGCCCAUAACCACAUUUCAAAAAGUUUGCGAUGAUUCAGAACGAGGUUUGUGUGGAAGAACUGGCACUUGCAUACACUGAACGAUUGGAUUGUCAGUGUUGAAAAAAUUGGCAUGACUUUUGGAUACGGUGUCCGUUUUGGGCCCAUAACAUUAUUUCGAAGGGCUCGCGGCGACUAGGAAUGUUGUUCACGUGGAAGAACAGGAACUUGUGUACAUGGAACGAUUUGAUUGUCAUUGUUAGAAAAAUUGGCAUAACUUUCGCAUAUGGUGUCCGUUUUGGGCCCAUAACCACAUUUCAAAAAGCUCGCGACGAUUCAAAAUGAGGUUCGAGUAGAAGAACCAGCACGUGCAUACACGAAAUGCUUAGAAUGUCAGUUUUCAAAAAAAUUUGCAUAACUUUCGCAUACGGUGUCCAUUUUGGUCCCAUAACCACAUUUCAAAAAGCUCAUGACGAUUAAGAACGCGAUUCGCAUGGAAGAAUUGUCACUGGCAUACACGGAACGCUUGGAUUGUCAAUUUUUGAAAACUUGGCAUAACUUUCGCAUACGAUGCCCAUUUUGGUCAUUUCGAAAAGCUCGCGAUGAUUCGAAAUGAGGUUCUCGUGAAAGAACUUGAACUUGCAUACACGGAAUGCGUGGAUUCUCAAUUUUUAAAAAAAAAUUGGCAUAACUUUUGCAUACGGUGUCCGUUUUGAGCCCAUAACCACGUUUCAGAAAGCUCACAACAAUUCGAAAUGAGGUUCGCAAUGAAGAACAAGCACUUGCAUAUGCUGAACGACUGGAUUGUCAGUAUUUGACAAAAUUGGCAUAACUUUCACAUACGGUGUCCAUUUUGGUCCCAUAAACACAUUCUGGAAAGCUCGCAAUGAUUCAAAAUGAGGUUCGCAUGGAAGAAUGGGCACUUGCAUACACGAAAUGCUUGGAUUAUCAAUUUUCCAAAAAAAUUGGCAUAACUUUAGCAUACGUUGUCCGUUUUUGGCCCACAGCCACAUUUUAAAAAGCUCGCGAUGAUUUGGAAUGAGGUUCAAGUGGACGAAUAGUCACUUGCAUACACAAAACUCUAAGAUUGUCAGUUUUCAAAAAAAUUGGCAUAGCUUUCGUAUACGAUGUCCGUUUUGGGCCCAUAACCAUAUUUUGGAAAGCUCGCGACGAUUCGGAAUGAGGAUCGCGUGGAAGAACCGGCACUUGCAUACAAGGAAUGAUUGGAUUGUCUGUUUUCGAAAAAAUUGGCAUAACUUUCGCAUAUGUUGUCCGUUUUGGGCCCAUAACCACAUUUCGGAAAGGUCAUGAUUCGAAAUGAGGUUUACAUGGAAGAACAAGAACUUGUGUACACUGAAUGAUUGGAUUGUCAGUUUAAAAAAAAUUGGCUUAACUUUCGCAUACGGAGUCCAUUUUUUUCCCUUAACCACAUUUGGAAAAGCUCGUGAUGAUUUGGAACGAGGUUCGUAUGGAAGAACAGAAACUUGCAUACACAAAAUGCUUGGAUUGUCAGUUUUCGAAGAAAUUGGCAUAGGAAUCCAUACGGUGUUCACUUUGGGCCCAUUACCAUAUUUCGGAAAGCUCUCGACGAUUUGAAAUGAGGUUUGCAUGGAAAAAUGAAAACUUGCGUACACGGAAUGAUUUGAUUGUCAAUGUUCAAAAAAAUUGGCAUAACUUACGCAUACGGAGUUCGUUUUAGGCCCAUAUCCACAUUUCAGAAAGCUCAUGAUGAUUCGAAACGAGGUUCGCGUGGGAGAAUAGGCACUUGCGUACACGGAAUGGUUGGAUUGUCAGUGUUGAAAAAAUUGGCAUAACUAUCGCAUGCGGUGUCUAUUUUGGGUACAUAACCACAUUUUAGAAAGCUCGCGAUGAUUCAGAACAAAGAUCGCAUGGAGGAACGGGAACUUAUGUACACGGAAUGAUUGGAUUGUCGAUGUUUGAGAAAAUUGGCGUAACUUUCACAUACGGUGUCCGUUUUGGGCCCAUACCACAUUUUAGAAAGCUUUGGACGAUUCAGAACGAGAUUUGUGAGGAAGAACUAGCACUUGCAUACACGGAAUGCUUGGAUUAAAAGUUUUCGAAAAAAUUGGCAUAACUUUCGCAUACGCUGUGUUCGUAUUGGGCCCAUAACCACAUUUCGAAAAGCUCACGAUGAUUCAGAACGAGGUCCACGUAAAAGAAUAGUCACUUGAGUGCACGGAACUCUUGGAUUGUCAGUUUUUGAAAAAAAUGGUAUAGCUUUCACAUACGAUGUUCAUUUUGGGCCCAUAAUCAUAUUUCAGAAAGCUCAAAGAGGUUCUCGUCGAAGAACAGGUACUUACAUUCGAGGAACACUUGGAUUGUCAGUUUUAGAAAAAAUUGGCAUAACUUUCGCAUACGGUGUCCAUUUUGGGCCCAUAACCACAUUUGGAAAAGCUCGCGACGAUUCAGAAUGAGAUUCACGUGGAAGAACAGGCGCUUACGUACACAGAACGCUUGGAUUGCCAAUUUUUCAAAAAUCGGCGUAGCUUUCACAUACGGUGUCCUUUUUGGGCCCAUAACCAAAUUUCGGAAAGCUUGCGAUGAUUUUGAAAGAGAUUCUUGUGGAAGAACAGACACUUGCGUUCAAGGAACACUUGGAUUAUCAGUAGAAAAAAUUGGAAUAACAUUCACAUACGGUGUUCGUUUUGGGCCCAUAACCACAUUUGGGAAAGCUCGCGACGAUUCAGAAUGAGAUUCGUGUAGAAGAAUCGGUACUUGUGUGAAACACUUCGAUUGUCAACUUUCAAAAAAGUUGGCAUAACUUUCGCAUACGGUGUCCGUUUUGGGCCCAUAACCACAUUUCGAAAAGCUGGAAACAAUUUGGAACGUGAUUCAUGUGGAAGAAUCGACACUUGUGUACACAGAACGCUUGGACUUUCAAUUUUCGAAAAAUUUGGAAUAACUUCUGUAUACGGUGUCCAUUUUGGUCCAAUAACAACAUUUUGGAAAGUUCGCGACGAUUCUAAAUGUGGUUCGCAUGGAAGAUCCGACACUUGCAUACAUGGAAUGCGUUAAUUGUCAGUUUUCAAAAACAUUGGCGUAACUUUCAUAUACGGUGUCCGUGUUGGGCCCAUAACCACAUUUCAAAAGGCUCACGUUGAUUCGAAACAAGGUUCGCGUAGAAAAAUUGGCACAUGCGUACACGGAAUGCUUGGAUUGUCAAUUUUUGAAAAAACUGGCAUAACUUUCAUAUACGCUAUCCGUUUUGGGCCCAUAACCACAUUUUGAAAAGCUCAUGACGAUUUGGAACGAGGUUUGUGUGGAAGAACAGGCAUUUGCAUACACCGAAAGCUAGAAUUGUUAGUUUUCAAAAAAAUUGGCGUAGCUUUCGCAUACGGUGUCUGUUUUGGGAGAAUAACCACAUUUCGAAAAGCUCGUGACGAUUCGGAAUGAGUUUCAUGUGGAAUAACUGGCCCUUGUGUACACUGAUUGCUUGGAUUGUCUGGUUUUAAAAAAAUUGGCAUUACUUUCGCAUAUGGUGUCCAUUUUCGGACCACAACCAUAUUUCAAAAAGCUCACAACGAUUAUGAAAGAGGAUCGCAUGGAAGAAAUGGCACUGGCGUACACGAAAUGUUUGGAUUGUCAGUUUUCAAAAAAAUUGGCAUAACUUUCGUAUACGGUGUCCGUUUUGGGCACACAACCACAUUUAGGAAAGCUUUCAAAGAUUUAGAACUAGAUUCACGUGGAAGAACCGGUAUUUGCGUACAUGGAAUGCUUGGAUUGUCAUUUUUUGAAAAAAAUUGCAUAACUUUCGCAUACGGUGUCCGUUUUGGACCCACAAACACGUUUUGGAAAACUAGCGACAAUUAAGAAUGAUGUUCGCAUAGAAGAACCGGCACUUCCGUGCAUGGAACACUUGGAAUGUCCAGUUUCAAAAAAAUUGGCAUAACUUUCGUAUAUGGUGUCCGUUUUGGGUCCAUAACCACAUUUCAAAAAGCUGGUGAUGAUUUGGAACUUGAUAUGCGUGGAAGAAUCGACACUUGCGCAUAUAGAAUGCUUGGAUUCUUAGUUUUCAAAAAAUUUGGCAUAACUUUCGCACAGGGUGUCCGUUUUGGUCCAAUAACCACAUUUUGAAAAGCUCACGAUGAUUCGGAACGAGGUUUGUAUGGAAGAUCCGACACUUGAGUACACGGAAUGCUGGGACUGUUAGUUUUUGAAAAAAUUGGCAUAACUUUCGCAUACAGUGUCCGUUUUAGGCCCAUAGCCACAUUUCGAAAAGUUGGCGAUGAUUUGGAACUUGAUAUGCCGGAAGGACCGACACUUGCGCACACAAAAUGCUUGGAUCGUCAGUUUUCAAAAAAUUUGGCAUAACUUUCGCACACGGUGUCUGUUUUGGUCCAAUAACCACAUUUCGAAAAGCUCGCGACGAUUCGAAACGAGGUUUGCAUGGAAGAUCCGACACUUGUAUACACGGAACGCUUAGACUGUCAAUUUUCGAAAAAAUUAGCAUAACUUUCGUAUACAGUGUCCGUGUUGGGCCCAUAACCACAUUUUAGAAAGCUCGCGACGAUUCGGAGCGAGGUUCGCGUAGAAGUACUGGCACAUGCGUACACGGAAUUCUUGGAUUGUCAAUUUUUUAAAAAAUUGGCAUAACUUUCGCAUACGGUGUUCGUUUUAGGUCCAUAACCCCAUUUCAAAAAGGUCGUGAUGAUUCGGAACAAGGCUCACAUGGAAGAAUAGGCACUUGUACACACGGAAUGCUUGGAUUGUUAGUUUUUGAAAAAAUUGGCAUAACUUUCUCAUACGGUGUCCGUUUUCGGGCAUUAACCACAGUCCGAAAUGCUCACGACGAUUCGAAAUGAGUUUCAUGUGGAACAACUGGCACUUGUGUACUCUGAUCGCUUGGAUUGUCUAUUUUCAAAAAUUUUGGCAUUACUUUCGCAUACAGUGUCCAUUUUUGGCCCACAACCACAUUUCGAAAAUCUCGCGACGAUUAAGAAAGAGGUCUGCAUGGAAGAAUUGGCACUGGCGUACACAAAAUGCUUAGAUUGUCAGUUCUUGAAAAAAAUUGCAUAACUUUCGCAUACGUUGUCCGUUUUGGGCCCUUAACCAUAUUUCAAAAAGCUCACGAUGAUUUGGAAAGAGGUUCGUGUGGAAGAACGGGUACUUGCGUACAAGAAACGCUUGGAUUGUCAAUUUUCAAAAUAAUUGGCAUAACUUUCACAUAUUGUGCACCGUUUUGGGCCCAUAACCACAUUUUUAAAAGCUCACAAUGAUUUGAAACGAGGUUCGCAUGGAAGAAUAGUCACUUGCCUACACAAAAUGCUUAGAUUGUCUGUUUUCAAAAAAAAUUGGCAUAUCUUUCGCAUACGGUGUCCAUUUUGGGCCCAUAACCAUAUUUCAAAAAGCUCACGAUGAUUGGUAUCGAGGUUCGGGUGGAAGAACAGGCACUUGUGUACAAGGAAAGCUUGGAUUGUAAGUUUUUGCAAAAAUUGGCAUAAAUUUCACAUACGGUGUCCAUUUUGGGCCCAUAACCACAUUUAAGGAAGCUCGCAACAAUUCGAAAUGAGGUUUCCAUGAAAGAAUUGACAAUUACAUACAUGAACCCUUGGAUUGUCCAUUUUUGAAAAAAUUGGCAUAAUUUUUGCAUACGGUGUCUGUUUUGGGCCCUUAACCACAUUCCAGAAAGCUUUAGACGAUUCGAAACAAGGUUCGCGUGGAAGAAUAGGCACUUGAGUACACAGAGUGAUUGGAUUGUCAUUUUUCGAAAAAAUUGGCAUAAUUUUUGCAUACGGAGUCCGUUUUGGGCCCAAGAACACAUUUCGAAAAGCUUACGACGAUUAAGAAUGAGGUUCACGUGGAAAAGCCGGCACUUGAAUACAUGAAAUGCUUAGAUUGUCGGUUUUUGAAAAAAUUGGCAUAACUUUCGCAUAUGGUGUCCGUUUUGGGCCCAUAACCACAUUUAGGAAUGCUCGCAAAGAUUCAAAACGAGAUUCACAUUGAAGAACAGUUACUUGCGUACACGAAAUGCUUGGAUUAUAGAUUUUCAAAAAAAUUGUUAAAACUUUCACAUACGUUGUCCGUUUUGGGCCCAUAACCACAUUUUGAAAAGCUCACGAUGAUUCGGAAUGAGGUUCGUGUGGAAGAAUAGGCACUUGUGUACACGAAACACUUUGUUUCUAAGUUUUCAAAAAAAUUGGCAUAACUUCUGUAUACGGUGUCUAUUUUGGGCCCAUAACCACAUUUCGAAAAGCUAGCGACGAUUUGUAAUGUGACUCGCGUUGAAGAACCGCACACACAGAAUGCUUGGAUUGUCAGUUUUCAGAAAAUUUGGAAUAACUUUCACAUACGGUAUCCAUUUUGGUCCAAUAACCACAUUUCGGAAAGCUCGCGACGAUUUGGAACGAGGUUCGCAUGGAAGAUCUGACUCUUGUAUACAUGGAAUGCUUGGAUUGUCCGUUUUCAAAAAAAUUGGCAUAACUUUCGCAUACGGUGUCCAUGUUGGGGCCAUAACCACAUUUCAGAAAGCUCGCAACGAUUCGAAUGAGGUCCGCAUUGGAGAACCGGCACAUGCGUACACGGAAAGCUUGGAUUGUCAAUUUUUGAAAAAAUUGGCAUAACUUUCACAUACGGUGUCGGUUUUGGGUCCAUAACCCCAUUUUGAAAAGCUCGUGAUGAUUCGAAACGAGUUUCUCAUGGAAGAAUAGGCACUUGCAAACACGGAACGCUUGGAUUGUUAGUUUUCAAAAAAAUUAGCAUAACUUUCGCAUACGGUGCCCAUUUUGGGGCAAUAACCACAUUUUGAAAAGCUCGCCACGAUUCAAAACGAGUUUCAUGUGAAGGAAUCGGUACUUAUGUACAUUGAUCGCUUGGAUUGUCUGUUUUAAAAAAAUUGGCAUUACUUUCGCAUACAGUGUCAAUUUUCGGCCCACAACCAUAUUUCAGAAAGCUUGUGAUGAUUAAGGAAGCAGUUCGCGUGUAAGAAUCGACACUGGCGUACACAGAAUGCUUGGAUUGUUAGUUCUCAAAAAAAUUGGUAUAACUUUCACAUACGUUGUCCAUUUCGGGCCCAUAACCAUAUUUCAAAAAGCUCGCGAUGAUUUGGAUCGAGGUUUGCGUGGAAGAACAGGCACUUGCGUACAAGGAAUGCUUGGAUUAUCAGUUUUCGAAAUAGUUGUCAUAACUUUCGCAUACUACGCCCCAUUUUGGGCCCAUAACCACAUUUCAAAAUGUUCGCGAUGAUUCGAAACGAGGUUCACAUGGAAGAAUAGUCACUUGCAUACACAGAAUGCUUUGAUUGUCAGUUUUCAAAAAAAUUGGCAUAUCUUUCACAUACGGUGUCCAUAUUAGGUCCACAACCCUAUUUCUAAAAGCUCGCGAUGAUUGGUAUUGAGGUUCACAUGGAAGAAUAGGCACUUGCGUACAAGGAACGCUUGGAUUGUAAGUUUUUGCAAAAAUUGGCAUAAAUUUCGCACACGGUGUCCAUUUUGGGCCCAUAACCACAUUUAGGAAAGCUUCCGAUGAUUCAUAAUAAGGUUCGCGUGAAAGAACUGUCAAUUGUGUACACAAACCCUGGAUUGUCUAUUUUCGAAAAAAUUGGCAUAAUUUUCGCAUACGGUGUCCAUUUUAGGCCCAUAACCACAUUUCAAAAAGUUCACGAUGAUUCGUAAUGAGGUUCGUGUGGAAGAACAGGCACUUGCGUACACAGAGCGAUUGGAUUGUCAUUUUUCAAAAAAAUUGGUAUAAGUUUCGUAUACGGUGUUCAUUUUUGUCCAAUAACCACAUUUCAGAAAGGUCAUGAUGAUUUAGAACGAGGUUCGCAUGGAAGAUUUGACACUUACGUACAUGGAAUGCUUGGAUUGUCAGUUUUCGAAAAAAUUGGCAUAACUUUCACAUACGGUGUCAGUGUUGGGCCCAUAACCACAUUUCUAAAAGCUUGCAACUGCUUGGAAUGUGAUUCAUGUGGAAUAACCAACACUUGUACACACAGAACGAUUGGAUUGUCAGUUUUUGAAAAAUUUGGCAUAAUUUUCGCAUACGGUGUCUAUUUUGGUCCAAUAACCACAUUUCGAAAAGUUCAUGACGAUUCAAAAUGAGGUUUGCAUGGAAGAUUUGACACUUGGGUACACGGAAUGCUUGGACUGUUAGUUUUCGAAAAAAUUGGCACAACUUUCACAUACGAUGUCCGUGUUGGGCCCAUAACCACAUUUCGAAAAUCUCGCGAUGAUUUGGAAUGUGAUUCGUGUGGAAGAACCGACACUUGCACACACAGAACGCUUGGAUUGUCAGUUUUCAAAAAAUUUGGUAUAACUUUCGUAUACGGUGUCCGUUUUGGUCCAAUAACCACAUUUCGGAAAGUUCACGAUGAUUCGAAACGAGGUUCACAUGGAAGAUCCGACACUUGCGUACACGGAACGGAUAGAUCGUCAGUUUAAGGCACACCUUUCGCAUACAGUGUCCGUGUUGGGCCUAUAACCACAUUUCGAAAAGCUCGUGAUGAUUCAGAACGAGGUUCACGUCGAAGAACCGACACAUGCGUACACGGAAUGCUUGGAUUGUCAAUUUUUGAAAAAAAAUGGCUUAACUUUCGCAUACAGUGUCCAUUUCAGGCCCAUAACCACAUUUCGAAAAGCUCGUGAUGAUUCGAAACAAGGUUUGUGUGGAAGAACGGGCAUUUGUGUACACGGAAUGCUUGGAUUGUUAGUUUUCGAAAAAAUUGGCAUAAUUUUAGCAUACGGUGUCCGUUUUGGGGCAACAACCACAUUUCGAAAAGCUCACAACGAUUCGAAAUGAUGUUACUAUGGAAGAACCGGUACUUGCGUACAUUGAUCACUUAUAUUGUCUAUUUUCAAAAAAAUUGGCAUUACUUUCAUAGACGGUAUCCAUUUUCAGCCCACAACCACAUUUUGAAAAGCUCGCGACGAUUAAGAAAGAGGUUCGUGUGGAAGAACCAGCACUGGCAUACAAAGAACGCUUGGAUUGUCAGUUUUCAAAAAAAUUGGCAUAACUUUUACAUACGGUAUCCAUUUUGGUCCCAUAGCCACAUUUUGGAAAGCUUGAGAGGAUUAAGAACGAGGUUCGCGUGAAAGAAUCGGCACUUGAGUACACAAAACCCUUGGAUUAUCAAUUUUCAAAAAAUUGGCAUAACUUUCACAUACGGUGUCUAUUUUUGCCCCAUAACCACAUUUCGGAAAGCUCGUGACGAUUCAAAAUGAGGUUCACGUGGAAGAACUGACAAUUACGUACACGAACGCUUGGAUUGUCAGUUUUCGAAAAAAAUUGGCAUACCUUUCGCAUACGGUGUCCGUUUUGGGCACAUAACCAUGUUUCAAAAAGAUCGUGACAAUUUUGAACGAGGUUCGUGUGGUAGAACCAGUCAUCGUGUACAUGGAAUGCUUGGAUUAAAAGUUUUCGAAGGAAUUGUUAUAAAAUUCGCAUACAUUGUCCAUUCUGGGCCCAUAAAUAUAUUUCGGAACGCUCGCGAUGAAUCGAAAUGACGUUCGUAUGGAAGAACCAGUACUUGCGUACAUAGAAUGCUUGGAUUGUCAAUUUUUUAAAAAAUUGGCAUAACUUUCGCAUACGGUGUCCAUUUUGGUCCCAAAACCAUAUUUCAGAAAGCUCGCGACAAUUAAGAACGAGGUUCAAGUGGAAGAACCAGCACUUGUAUACAUGGAUUGCUUGGAUUGUCAGUGUUUGAAAAAACUAGCACAACUCUUGCAUACGGAGUCCAUUUUGGGCCCAUAACCACAUUUGGAAAAGCUCGAGAUGAUUCAGAAUGAGGCACUUGCGUACACGAACGCUUAAAUUGUCAGUUUUCAAAAAAAUUUGCAUAACUUUCAUAUACGGUGCCCAUUUUCAUCCUAUAACCACAUUUCAAAAAGCUUGCGACGAUUCGAAACGAGGUUUGCAUGGAAGAAUAGGCACGUGUGUACACAUAAUGCUUAAAUUGUCAAUUUUCAAAAAAAUUGGCAUAACUUUCGCAUACCGUGUCUGUUUUGAACCGACGCUUGAGUACACGGAACGUUUGAAUUGUUAUUUUUUGAAAAAUUGGCAUAACUUUCUCAUACAGUGUCUGUUUUGGGCCCAUAACCACAUUUCAAAAAGUUCGGGACGAUUCAGAACGAGGUUCAUGUGGAAGAACCGGCACGUGCAUACAUAGAAUUCUUAGAUUGUCAUUUCUCAAAAAAAUUGGCUUAACUUUUGCAUACGUUGUUCGUUUUGGUCCAUAACCACAUUUUGGAAAGCUCGCGACGUUUAAGAACGAGGUUCGCAUGGAAGAACCGACACUUGCAUACACGAAACACUUAGAAUGUCAGUGUUUGAAAAAAUUGGCACAACUUUUGCAUAUGGAGUUCAUUUUGGGCCCAUAACCACAUUUCAAAAAGCUCGCAAUGAUUUAGAAUGAGGUUCACGUGGAAGAACUUACACUUAUGUACACGAAUGCUUAAAUUGUUAGUUUUUGAAAAAAAUGGCUUAACUUUCACAUUCAUUGUCCGUUUUGGUCAAAUAGCCACAUUUCGGAAAGUUCGCGACGAUUAAAAAUGAGGUUCACGUGGAUGAACCAGCACUUGCAUACACGGAACGGUUGGAUUAUCAAUGUUUGAAAAAAUUGGCACAACUUUUGCAUACGGAGUCCAUUUGGGCCAUAACCACAUUUCGAAAAGCUCGCAAUGAUUCAGAAUGAGGUUCGCAUGGAAGAACAGGUACUUGCAUACAAGGAACGCUUGGAUUGUUAGUUUUCGAACUAAUUGGCAUAACUUUCGCAUAAUGUGCCUCGUUUUGGGCCCAUAACCACAUUUUGAAAAGCUCGGGACGAUUCGGAACGAGGUUCGCGUGGAAGAACAGUCACUUGCAUACAUAGAACGCUUGGAUUGUUAGUUUUCAAAAAAAUUGGCAUAUCUUUCACAUACAGUGUCCAUUUUGGGCCCAUAACCAUAUUUCGAAAAGCUCACGAUGAUUGGUAUAGAGGUUCACGUGGAAGAACAGGCACUUGUGUACAAGGAACUCUUGGAUUGUAAGUUUUUGCAAAAAUUGGCAUAAAUCUCGAAUACGGUGUCCAUUUUGGGGCCAUAACCACAUUUAAGAAAGCUCGCGAUGAUUCGGAAUGAGGUUCGCAUGAAAGAACUGACAAUUGCAUACACGAACCCUUGGAUUUUUCAUUUUUGAAAAAAUUGGCAUAAUUUUCACAUACGGUGUCUGUUUUGGGCCCAUAACCACAUUUCAAAAAGCUCGCGACGAUUCGGAAUGAGGUUCGCGUGGAAGAACGGGCACUUACGUACACAGAGCGAUUGGAUUGUAAUUUUUCGAAAAAAACUGGUAUAACUUUCGCAUACGAUGUCUGUUUUGGUACAAUAACCAAAUUUUAGAAAGCUUGUGACGAUUCAGAAUGAGUUUCGUAUGGAAGAUUUGACACUUGUGCACACAGAACGCUUGGAUUGUCAAUUUUCAAAAAAAUGGCAUAACUUUUACAUACGGUGUCCAUGUUGGGCCCAUAACCACAUUUCAGAAAGUUUUCGACAAUUUGGAAUGUGAUUCGUGUGGAAGAACCGACACUUGCACACAUAGAAUGCUUGGAUUGUCAGCUUUCGAACAAUUUGGCAUAACUUUCACAUACGGUUUCCAUUUUGGUCCAAUAACCACAUUUCGGAAAGCUUGCGACGAUUCGGAACAAGGUUUGCAUGGAUGAUCUGACACUUGUGUAACAGAACGCUUGGAUUGUAUGUUUUCGAAAAAAUUGGCAUAACUUUUGCACACUGUGUCCGUGUUGGGCCCAUAACCACAUUUCAGAAAGCUCGCAACGAUUCGGAAUGAGGUUUGCGUAGAAGAAUCGGCACGUAAGUACACGAAACGCUUGGAUUGUCAAUUUUUGAAAAAAUUGGCAUAACUUUUGCAUACGGUGUCCGGUUUGUGCCCAUUACCACAUUUCAAAAAGCUCGUGAUUAUUCGAAACAGGAUUCACGUGGAAGAAUAGGCAUUUGCGUACACGAAAUGCUUGGAUUGUUAGUUUUUGAAAAAAAUUGAAUUUUCUCAUACAGUGUCCAUUUUCACCGACGACCACAUUUCGGAGAGCUUGUGACAAUUAAGAAAGAGGUUCGCAUGGAAGAACCGACACUGGCAUACAAGGAACACUUAGAUUGUCAGUUUUCAAAAAAAUUGGCAUAACUUUUACAUACAGUGUCUAUUUUAGCCCCAUAACCACAUUUCAGAAAGCUUGUGAUGAUUCGGAUCGAGAUUUUCUAGGAAAAACCGACAUUACGUACAUGGAAUACUUAGAUUGUAAAUUUUCAAAAAAAUUGGUAUAACUUUUGCAUGCAGUGUCCGUUUUGGCCCAAUAACCACAUUUUGAAAAGCUCGUGACGAUUCGGAACGAGGUUUGCCUGGAAGAACAGGCACUUGAGUACAGGAAAUGAUUAGAUUAUCAAUGUUUGAAAAAAUUGGCAUAACUUUCGCAUACUGUAUCUAGUUUGGUCCCAUAACCACAUUUCGAAAAUCUCGAGACAAUUCGAAAUGAUGUUCGCAUGGAAGAACAAGGACUUGUGUGCACGGAAAGAUUGGAUUGUUAGUGUUUGAAAAAAUUGGUAUAACUUUUAUAGACAGAGUUCGUUUUGGGUCCAUAACCCCAUUUCGAAAAGCUCGUGACGAUUUGGAACGAGGUUUGUGUGGAAGAACAAGCACUUGCAUACACGGAAUGACUAGAUUGUCUGUGUUCGAAAAAAUUGGCAUAACUUUAGCGUACGUGUCCAUUUUGGUCCUAUAACCACAUUUCAAAAAGCUCGUAGCGAUUUGGAACGAGGGUCACGUGGAAGAACAGGUACUUGCUUACAAGAAACGCUUGAGUUGUCAGUUUCAAAAAAAUUGACAUAACUUUCGCAUAUGUUGUCCGUUUUGGGCCCAUAACCAUAUUUCGAAAAGUUCGCGACGAUUUGGAACGAGGUUCGGGUGGAAGAAGAGGCACUUGCGUACAAGGAACGCUUGGAUUGUCACUUUUCGAAGUAAUUGGCUUAACUUUCACAUACUACGCCCAUUUUAGGCCCAUAACCACAUUUCAAAAAGUUCGUGACGAUUCAAAAUGAGGUUCGUGUGGAAAAACAGUCACUUGUGUACAGAGAACGCUUAGAUUGUCAGUUUUCAAAAAAAUUGGCAUAUCUUUCACAUAAGGUGUCCAUUUUGGGACAAUAACCAUACUUUGGAAAGUUCGUGAAGAUUGGUAUUAAGGUUCACAUGGAAGAACAGGCAUUUAUGUACAAGGAACGCUUGGAUUGUAAGUUUUAGCAAAAAUUGGCAUAAAUUUUGCAUACGGUGUCCAUUUUGGGCCCAUAACCACAUUUAGGAAAGCUCGUGAUGAUUCGAAAUGAGGUUCACAUGAAAGAACAGACAAUUGCAUACAUGAACCCUUGGAUUGUCCAUUUUAGAAAAAAUUGACAUAACUUUCGCAUACGGUGUCCGUUUUAGGUCCAUAACCACAUUUAGGAAAGCUCGUGACGAUUCAAAAUGAGGAUCGUGUGGAAGAACAGGCACUUACGUGCACAGAGCGAUUGGAUUGUCAUUUUUCGUAAAAAUCGACAUAACUUUUGCAUACGGUGUCCGUUUUGGUCCCAUAACCACAUUUCGAAAAGCUCGCGAGGAUUAAGAAUGAGGUUCGCGUGGAAGAACUGGUACUUGAGCACACGAAAACUUUGGAUUGUCAGUUUUUGAAAAAUUGACAUAACUUUCACAUACGAUGUCCAUUUUGGCCCCAUAACCACAUUUUGGAAAGCUUGUGACGAUUCAAAAUGGGAUUCUUGUGGAAGAACUAACAAUUGCGUGCACGAACACUUGGAUUAUCAAUUUUUGAAAAAAAGUUGGCAUACAUUUCGCAUACGGUGUCCAUUUUGGGCCCCUAACCACAUUUCAAAAAGAUCGUGACUAUUCGGAAUGAGUUUUGUGUGGCAGAACCAAUCCUCACGUACAAGGAAUGUUUGGAUUAAAAGUUUUCUAAGGAAUUGGCAUAAAUUUCACAUACGUUGUCCAUUCUGGGCCCAUCAGCAUAUUUCGAAACGUUCACGAUGAAUCGAAAUGACGUUCACAUGGAAGAAUCGGCACGUGCAUACACAGAAUGCUUGGAUUGUCAAUUUUGGAAAAAAUUGGCAUAACUUUCAUAUACGAUGUCCGUUUUGGUCCGAAACCCACAUUUCAAAAAGCUCGAGAUGAUUAAGAACGAGCUUCGUGUGGAAGAAUCGACACUUGCAUACACGAAACGUUUGGAUUGUUAGCGUUUGAAAAAAUUGGCACAACUUUUGCAUACGGAGUCCGUUUUGGGCCCAUAACCACAUUUCGAAAAGCUCGCGAUGAUUCAGAAUGAUGUUCGCGAGAAAGAACAAACACUUGCGUACACGAACGCUUAAAUUGUUAAUUUUCGAAAAAAAUUGUAUAACUUUUGAAUACGGUGUCCGUUUUGGUCCAUAACAACAUUUUGAAAAGCUCACGAUGAUUCGGAAUAAGAUUCGCGUGGAAGAACCGGCAUGGACGUGCACAGAAUGCUCAAAUUGUUGGUUUUCGAAAAAAUUGGGAUAACUUUCGCAUACAGUGUCCGUUUUGGUCCCAUAACCACAUUUUGAAAAGCUCGCGACAAUUAAGAACGAGGUUCGUGUGAAAGAACCAGCACUUGAGCACACAGAAUGCUUGGAUUGUUAGUUUUCGAAAAAUUGGCAUAACUUUCUCAUAUAGUGUUCGUUCUGGGCCCAUAACCACAUUUCGAAAAGCUCGAGACAAUUCAGAACAAGGUUUGUGUGGAAGAAUCGGCACAUGCAUACAUGGCAUUCUUAAAUUGUCAAUUUUCAAAGAAAUUGGCUUAACUUUCGCAUACGGUGUCUGUUUUGGUCCCUUGACCACAUUUUAGAAAGAUCGUGACAAUUCGAAAUGAGAAUCCUGCAGAAGAACAGACAAUUGCACACAUAAAUGCUUGGAUUGUAAGUUUUCGAAAAAAUUGGCAUAACUUUCCCAUACUGUGUUCGUUUUGGGCCCAUAACCACAUUCUGGAAAGUUCGCGGUGAUUUGGAACGAGGUUCACAUGGAAGAAUAGGCACUUGCGUACACUGAUCGCUUGGAUUGUCUGUUUUCAAAAAAAUUGGCUUUACUUUUGCAUACGGAGUCCAUUUUUGACCCACAACCACAUUUCGAAAAGCUCGCGAUAAUUAAGAUAGAGGUUCGCGUGGAAGAGCUAGCACUGGUGUAGAUGAAAUGCUUGGAUUGUCAGUUCUCAUAAAAAUCAGCAUAACUUUCGCAUACGUUGUUCGUUUUGGGCCCAUAACCAUAUUUCGAAAAGCUCGUGACGAUUUGGAAUGAGGAUCGCGCGAAAGAACAAGCACUCGCAUACAAAGAAUGACUGGAUUGUCAGUUUUUGAAAUAUUUGGCUUAACUUUCACAUACUAUGCCCGUUUUGGGCCCAUAACCACAUUUUGAAAAGCUCGCGACGAUUCAAAACGAGGUUCAUGUCGAAGAACAGUCAUUUGUGUACAUAGAAUGCUUGGAUUGUCAGUUUUCAAAAAAAUUGGCAUAUCUUUUGCAUACGGUAUCCAUUUUGGGCCCAUAACCAUAUUUCAGAAAGCUCGCGAUGAUUUGUAUUGAGGCUCAUGUGGAAGAACAGGCACUUGUGUACAAGGAACACUUGGAUUGUCAAUUUUUGAAAAAAAUUAGCAUAACUUUCGCAUACAGUGUCCAUUUUGGGCCCACAAUGACAUUUCGAAAAGCUGGCGAUGAUUCGAAAUGAGGUUCGUGGAGAAGAAUCGGCACUUGCAUACACAGAUCGCUUGGAUUGUUUGUUUUCGAAAAAAUUAGCACUACUUUCGCAUGCGGUGACCAUUUUCGACCCCCAACCACAUUUUGAAGAGCUCGUGAUGAUUAAGAGCGAGUUUUGCGUUGAACAACUAGCACUGGAGUACACGAAAUGCUUGGAUUGUCAGUUUUUGAAAAAAUUGGCAUAACUUUCGCAUACAGUGUCCCUUUUUGGGUCCAUAACCACAUUUCGAAAAACUUGUGAUGAUUCGCAACGAGGUUUUCAUUGAAGAACCGGCACUGGCAUACAUGGAAUGCUUGGAUUGUUAAUUUUUGAAAAAAUUGGCAUAAUGUUUACAUACAGAUCCGUUUUGGGCCCAUAACCAUAUUUUGGAAAGUGCGGGACGAUUCGAAAUAAGGUUCACCCUGAAGAAUAGGCACUUACAUAUACGGAACAAUGGGAUUGUCAUUGUUUCCAAAAAUUGGCAUAACUUUCGUAUACGGUGUCCAUUUUUGGCCCAUAACUACAUUUUCGAAAGCUCGCGAUGAUUCGGAAUGAGAUUCGCAUAGAAGAAUAGGCACUUGCGUACACGAAAAGAUUAGAUUGUCAGUGUUUGAAAAAAUUGGCAUAACUUUUGCAUACGGAAUCCGUUUUGGGCCCAUAACCACAUUUCGAAAAGCUCGGGACAAUUCGAAAUGAGGUUUGUGUGGAAGAACAAGCACUUGUGUACACAGAAUGAUUGGAUUGUCAGUGUUCGAAAAAAUUGGCAUAACUUUCACAUAUGGUGUUCGUUUUCGGCCCAUAACCCAUUUCGAAAAGCUCGCGAUGAUUCGAAACGAGGUUCACAUGGAAGAAUAGGCACUAGCGUACAAGGAAAUAUUGGAUUGUUAGUGUUUGAAAAAUUUGGCAUAACUUUUGCAUACGGAGUCCAUUUUAGGCCCAUAACCACAUUUUGGAAAGCUCGCGAUGAUUCGGAAUGAGGUUUGCAUGGAAGACCAAGCACUUGUAUACACGAAACGAUUGGAUUGUCAGUGUUGUUUGAAACAAUUGGCAUAACUUUCACAUACGUGUCUGUUUUGGUCCCAUAAUCGCAUUUCGAAAAGCUCACGAUGAUUUAGAACGAGGUUCACUUGGAAGAACAGGUACUUAUGUGGACGGAAUGAUUGGAUUUUAUCAGUGUUGAAAAAAUUGGCAUAGCUUUCACAUACGCUGUUCGUUUUAGGCCAUAACCACAUUUUGGAAAGCUCACGACGAUUCAGAACGAGGUUCACGUGGAAGAACUGGCACGUGCAUACAUAGAAUGCAAGGAUUAUCAGUUUUAAAAAAAAUUGGCAUAACUUUCACAUAUAGUGUCGGUUUUAGUCCCACAACCACAUUUCAAAAAGGUCACGAUGAUUAGAACAAGGUUCGCGUGGAAGAACCGUCACUUGCGUACACCGGAUGCCUCGAUUGUCAGUGUUUGGAAAAAUUGGCGUAACUUUGGCAUACGGAGUCCGUUUUGGGCCCAUAAUCACAUUUCGAAAAGUUCGCUAUAAUUCAGAACGAGGUUUACGUGGAAGAAUAGGCACUUGCAUACACUGAAUGAUUGGAUUGUCAGUGUUCAAAAAAUUGGUAUAACUUUUGGAUACAGUGUCGAUUUUGGGCCCAUAAACAUAUUUCGAAGGGCUCACAAUGAUUAGGAACGCGGUUCACAUGGAAGAACAGAAACUUGCAUGCAUGGAACAAUUGGAUUGUCAUUGUUAGAAAAGAACCGGCACUUACAUACACGGAAUGCUUGGAUUGUCAAUUUUCAAAAAAAAUUGGCAUAACUUCCACAUACUGUAUCCGUUUUGGGCCCAUAACCACAUUUUAGAAAGCUCGCGGUGAUUUGGAAUGAGGUUCGCAAUGAAGAACAAGCACUUGCAUACACUAAACGAUUAGAUUGUCAGUGUUUGACAAAAUUAGCAUAACUUUCGCAUACGAUAUCCAUUUUGGGCCCAUAACCACAUUUCGAAAAGCUCGCGAUGAUUCGAAAUGAGGUUAGCAUGGAAGAACAGGCACUUACGUACACGGAAUGCUUGGAUUGUCAGUUUUAAAAAAAAUUGGCAUAACUUUCUCAUACGUUGUUCGUUUUUAGCCCACAACCACAUUUCGAAAAGCUCGCGACGAUUCAGAUCGAGGUUUAAGUGGACAAACAGUCACUUGCAUACACGGAAUGCCUGGAUUGUCAAUUUUCCAAAAAAAUUGGCAUAGCUUUCAUAUACGAUAUCCAUUUUUGGCCCAUAACCAUAGUUCAAAAAGCUCACGACGACUCAAAAUGAGGAUCGCGUGGAAAAACAAGCAUUUGCGUACAAGGAACGCUUAGAUUGUCAGUUUUCGAAAAAAUUUGCAUAACUUCGCAUACGGUGUUCAUUUUGGGUCCAUAAACACAUUUCAAAAAGGUCGUGAUGAGUAAGAACGAGGUUCUCAUGGAAAAACCAGCACUUGCAUACACGGAAUGCUUGGUUUAAAAGUUUUCAAAAAAAUUGGCAUAACUUUCGCAUACGGUGUUCAUUUUAGGGCAAUAACCACAUUUAAAAAAGCUUGCGACGAUUCGGAAUGAGUUUAGUGUGGAAGAACAGGCACUUAUGUACACUAAUCGCUUGGAUUGUCUGUUUUCAAAAAAAUUGGCAUAUCUUUCGCAUACUAUAAUACCCCAAACUUCCUGUUAUAUAUUUGGCCAAUAUGAUUCAUGCUAUUCACAAUGUUAGUUGCAUUAGUUUUCUUAAUUACUUUAUCUUAAAAUGGUGCAUUCGAUUAUGGAUAUUUUAAGAUUUUAGUCUUCGACUCCUAGACCUAGGUGUUGAAUUUUGUAUUGAGCUAUGAUAGAAAAUUAGGUUAACUAAAUGUUGGAGAUUGGCUUGAUAAGAAAUGGAAUAUCGAAAAGGUCGGAAAUCGGAAUCGACAAAAGUUCAAGCUUUCUACUUGGUUGAUCGAGACCACCUUAAAUCCUAGAUAGGUAAUUGACAUAUUUGGGACAUGAUACAUAAAGGAACAUGAUCAUGAUGCGAUAAUAUAUGUCUCAUAUGACAUUAUAAAUAUCGAGGUGCGAUUUGAUGAAAUCAAUCGAGAAUGGGGUGUCAAUCGGGUAAGUAAUUAAAUGAAUGAUUGAGGAAUUAGCUCUAUAAAAUAUUUUGGGAUCUUAGGGCAAGUGAAAUGGAUUGUAAACACAUUAACAUAAGCCCAGGAUACUUGAUUUAUACCUGCAAAGAUAGAUAUAAAAUCAGAUUUUUUUUACUAGUGACCACCUCAUGCUUUUAAUAUUUAUCAUUUUAACACCCAAUUCCUUUAACCUUAAGGCAUCAACCUCCUGUCCUACUCCUUAAGCACUUAUUAUAGGAUGAAUAUAUAUCUUAUAAUCAUAAAUGGAUCCAAAUAUAAUGGUUGAAAAUCAAGUAUGGCCACAAUGAAGACACGUCGUGCUUGGCACCUCAUGCUUGGGAUAGUUGUCAUUUUAAUACUCAAUCCCUUCAUCCUUAAGAUAUAUAACACCUCUCCUACCUCUUUUUAUUUAAUAUAGAUAGAUAUAUAUAUCUUAUGAAUCAAUAUAAGUUAAAUAGUCCAAGAGAAAAGUCAAAUAUAGUAGGAAAAGACCACCUCAUGCUAAACACUUGGCUGCACCCCACAUUUUCUUAAUCCUUAAGGAAGAGUCACGUCUCCAGCGUCUUGAAGACUUUAUAUACACCUCCUAACAACAUAUUUAGUCUUACAAAUUAUCCCCAAUUGACCACCGAUUGAAAGAGAAAGCAAAAAGGAAAAGAGAGAAGCAGAAACAAGGAGCUGAAAUUGAAUUUCUGGAUAGGUGAGUUUAGCUCACGGUUUUGAAGUUUUUCUUUAGUUCUUUUGCUUGUUUUAUAAUAUGUUUAAACUAUAAACUUACUUGAGGCUAAGUAUAAGGGUUGUUUAUGAUUUUAUGAUGGCAAAAGAGAGGGAUAAUUGAGUACAAGAACCUGAAAGAAACCAACAGGAAUAGAGCUGUGUUGAUUGAUGAAUUUGGAUGGUUUAAACUUUGAUUUUGGAUAAUACUGAAGAUAUAACUUGUGUCUAUGUAAAUUAAUGGGAUUUAUAAGGAUAUAAAUGGUCUUAUAAUAGCCUGGAAUCUGUUUGAUGACAUGCUAAUAAAAUGGAAACUGAAAGCUGUCACAAUGAAAACUGCCCGAUUUUGAUGUCGUGGAAGUGGACUAUUUUGAUGCUGAGAACACUUGAUUUGUCACGAAUUUAGAGCGUUAUUGUCUUCACAUACAUGUUAUAGAAACGUGGUAAAAAUUUGGGAGUCAUUGGAUAUGGAUAAGGGGGGUGAAAACGGAUUGGAAAAGUAGUUGGACAGUGAUGAAACCUGAAAAACAGGUUCUGUCCAUUUAUGUGUUUAAUAUGAUUUCAACCUUUACAUGUAAAUUAAUUAUCUCUUGGGCCUAGGAAAUAGAUUCUAAGGAGUAUUAGGUUGUUGACAACAAUUUGAUGACGUUGAUGUUGCUAAUUGGACUCGAGGAAAAAUGAGACUUGUGGGACGAGAUUGUAAUGCCGUUAGUAACUUCAAUAAGGAAUUCGUUUAAAUUAUUUUGAUGUGAAUAGAGGUAUUUCGGGAUUUUGCGUGUGUUAAGGCUAUUAAAUGGAGGAUUUUCUUUAAUAUUAAAUGGUAAUACAGGUGAUUUUCCGACGUUGAGUGAAAAAGGAAAGUGAUAUAAUCUCCGUAGGAGCUUGUGCACACACAAGGGCAAAAAGGUAAGUAAAAAAUCCAUUUGCAACUACGAUGCAAGAACCUAGCAUUUGUGGUAUAGUGAUGAUAGGAUAUUUUCAUACUUUGAUAAGAAAGCUCGUUGUACCCUAUAUGAUGAUUAUGAUCAUUGAGUAUGCGGUUGCAAAAUACAUUGACAUCAACUUCCAUUAAGCAUGUCAUUCAUGAGCAUUUUCGUUGGCAUGCACAACAUAUGAUCAUGGUUGAAAACUUUGCAUGCGAAACAUGAUUUCAAAGUAAGUUUUCUUUAUAAAUGUUUUAUUGACCACUACUAGGGCACCGAGGCAUGCUUAUGUGAUACGUUUGGCAGUGCGGAACUUCCUAGGUGAUUGCAAAGGUAGACAGGGGAUGGGCCUUUGGUGAUCACGGGAGGGUGGACCGCUUGACUAUGCCCUUGUUAUGAUUAUUGGCGCUGCCGGGUGGGAGACUUCUUGGGUGAUCAUAGGGGUACUUAGGGGAUGGACCUCUAGCAGUCAUGAGAGGAUGGUCCACUCAUCGGUGUCGAUUUCAUAUUGGCCACUUGAUUAUUGAUAUUGAUAGUAUGCAGAGCUCUAUCCGGCGCAUAGUUAGUGGGUCAAGGGCCCAAUGAAAUGAAAGAUUUCAAAUGAAAUAAUUUCGAGUCGACUUUGAUGAAUAUUGGAAUAUGAUGCAUCUUUAGCAUGAUGUUUAAAGUAAAUGACAUGGUGUCACAUAUCCUUGUUACUCAUACUCAUGAUAUACAUGAUUCUUGCUUACUAAGCAUUGGCUUAUGUAGUUCUUGCAUUUUAGGUGAGCAUGGAACUAUGUAGAGGGCACGGCUAGCUGUGGAGCUCUUACGGGAUUCCAAAGAUCAAUGUACAUGGAUGACGACCUGUAGGGUUAUUUUGUGGGCUAUUGUUUUGAGCUUACACUGUAAUACUACGAAAAUUUAAAUUCCUUUAAGAUGGCGAUUUAACUUUCAAUGCUAUUUUUGGCCAUAAGAAAAGGGGACACCACCUUUGUAGUGGUUAAUGUUAGAGGUAGCUAAUGACUACAAGCAUGAGGUGUUAAAUGUUGUGUAUACAUGAAGUGAUUAUUAGUUAGUAGAAACUUAAGUCAAGUUUGAAAUUGAAUGUGGUCGAUUAUUUUGUUAGGACUUCAAUUGACCAAAUGAUUAAAUUAAUUUACGAUCUACAAUUUUUGGAUAUGUAAGUUGGAUAUAAGUUUAGAUUUGGG